CAACGGUUGGACAAGGAUGGGAACUGUCGAGUGGUAGAAUAUGUCACUCACUAAGGAGUAAAAUCCGCUUGACGAAAAUCGCUAAGAGACAAUCGCUGGUUAUUCAAGGAUAAAUCGAGAAGGAUGACUAGCAAAACAGGACAAAUAUUAUUCAUAUCGAUGUUACGAUGGCAAUUUCAUCAGAUUAUACAUUAUUGCAUGCACAUAGAAGACAUUGUUCACUUUUUAAGCUGUCAACCUCACAAUUAUAAUAAUAAGUAUGAAUGUUUGAUGGAUUGCGGAGAAAUAUAAUAAUGCAAAGUGUUGCAUGAGAAUGGUGUUAUUGCAUUUUUUUUAUAAAAAAAGAAGCAGCCCACACGCGCGUUAUACUCGUAUAUCAAACGAUAUCUUCUUAAAAUCCUACCUUUGUUAAGUUAGCCGAUACCGGUAUUCGAUGAAUGUCAACUUCGGACGUUCGCACAUUGCUUUUAUCAGAAAUUUUUCUAUUAAAAUAGGCAUUUUAUGAAAUGUUUAUAACAUGUUUCAUAAAAUUAGAUUAGUUGUGUGUAAGAGUACAAUAAAUAAAAGUGCCGUCAUCGUAUCCUUCUUCA